GACUCUGGGCCGAUUCCGCCUCCAAACCGGCAGAUCCGUGUAACAGUCACGCCCGUUUUACUGCCCCGUUCCAGAUACGGCCCGCAUGUAGUCUGUGUGCACUCAGGAGUGGGCGUGAGCCUCCAUCAGUCGGCGGAAUCAUAAUAGUUCUGGCCCGGACUCGUCGGAACGAGCGCGUGAACUGUUUGUCUUUCUUUGGAUCAGUUCGGACUGUAAGCUUUGUGUAAAGAGUUUAUAACGGUUCAGUCUUUUCUCCAACCCUGGCUGAGAGCCCGGGAUUAUAGGAGGCUCAACGGAAGAACCAAGCUGCUAGCAGCGCAUCGGACAACGAGAUUAACCCGCACGCCAUCCGCUGGUUCAACCUGGCCUCUGACUGUGGAGGUGGCCGCAACGAACGUGCCAUGGCCAGAGAGGCAUUAACCGUGGCUGUGUCCCUGUGGAUUGAAGACCCGCCUACUUCCUGGUUUCUGGGGUGCUGACAUCAGUCCCGCCCAUUGGUUCCCUCUGUUUCCACUCAACUAAUGGCUCGUCACCACAUUAAUUACGUCCGGCUCAUAAGGAGAGUCCACCUGUUGCUCCAGGCAGCUUGUCACCGUCUAUUGACUUGUGUGCCGCUGGUAUUGACUGCAUACCCUGCCUAAAUGAACACAUCGGCCAUCCCCCACUCUUCCACUACUGAUGAUUUGUUGGGUGUCAUGUGAGGGUUAUGGCAGUCCCACUUCUCCACUUGCCUCAUCAAUGUUUCCCGUAAAGCCACCAAACAAUGUGUAUGAACAUUUUACAGUUUUUUCUGGGUUUCACAUGACUAGUUGGAGUUGGAUAUUGUAUUUUGGCUAUAAAAUCUUUUUCUGUUUCUUAUACCAAUCUGUUCUUUAUACCAUGGUCAUGGAAAAUGGUUAAAAUCUAAAUGGCUGGCAGUAAUCAUCUAUCAAGACAAACUUAUCGCUUGUCGCUAAUUAAAACGUUAUCUUGUGUGUUUAGGCCGUAGAAUCUCAUGUGUCUCCUGGCUUUAGCUUUAUAUGUAGAGUAUGAUAUCAUGAGUGUGGUAUAUAUCUUCUCAUCGCUCUCAGGGAGAAAGAAAUCUUACUUUCUUACCAUCAUCAUUACUAAUGGUACACUACACUAUGCAAGACUGAUAGCAAUGUCAAUAUAUUGAGCUUUUUAACUAAGCCACACUGUUGCUAUUAUUAGAGUUUAAUACUUACGCAUUCAUAUAAAAAUAACACCUGAGUCAUAGGUUUGUGGUUACUGUACAGUUACUAGAAACUAAUUGUCAACUGGAGUGAAGUUUCUUGUUCCUGCAGUUGUUAAAGACAGAAAUGAGCUGUAAAAUGUGUUUAUUGGAUUGAAUGUUAGUUUGGCAAUUAUCUACUUUGUUUUAAGUUUCUGUCCUCUCUUUUUAUCUCAGACAUUUCAAAUAAAAUUUAAAAUGUGUAUUUUAAAUAAAAUUUAAAAUGUGUCGCUCA